GACGAACGCUGGCGGCGUGCUUAACACAUGCAAGUCGAACGGAAAGGCCCUUCUUUUGUGGGUUGCUCGAGUGGCGAACGGGUGGGGAACACUUGAGUAACCUGCCCUGGACUUUGGGAUAACUUCAGGAAACUGGGGCUAAUACCGGAUAGGAGCUCCUGCGUCAUGGUGGGGGUGGGAAAGUUUCGGCGGUUGGGGAUGGACUUGCGGCGUAUCCGGUUGUUGGUGGGGUAGUGGCUUACCAAGGCUUUGACGGGUAGCCGGCCUGAGAGGGUGACCGGCCACAUUGGGACUGAGAUACGGGCCAGACUCCUACGGGAGGGAGCAGUGGGGAAUAUUGCAAAAUGGGCGGAAGGCUGAUGCAGCAAAGCCGCGUGCGGUAUGAAGGCCUUCGGGUUGUAAACCGCUUUCGCCUGUGACGAAGCGUGAGUGACGGUAAUGGGUAAAGAAGCACCGGCUAACUACGUG
rnacentral:rRNA from 1 species